rnacentral:tRNA from 1 species
GGGCCCAUAGCUCAGGCUGGGAGAGCGACUGGCUUUUAACCAGUAGGUCGGGGGUUCAAAUCCCCUUGGGCCCG